CCCUCACUUCGCUGCUCGGAUCCCUUCAGCAUCCUUCCAUCUCACUAGGAAUAAAAUACAGAAUCUCGACCACACUUCGCAAGCCCUCGUCUGCUGUAUCCUUCCAGGCACACACUGGCUUCGUGGCAUCUCGGCUCUUCUCUCGUCUCCUGAAUCCUCUCCCUGUCACCUGUGGACCUGGCCGGGGCAGUUCCCUCGGGGGCCGUUUACCUGGGCUGUUUCUGCGCUCACGUACCCACAGGUGCCGGCAAAGAGUAAUAAUCAUUCACCGGAAAGCAACUGG
rnacentral:lncRNA from 1 species